AGAGUUUGAUCCUGGCUCAGGACGAACGCUGGCGGCGCGCCUAACACAUGCAAGUCGAACGAGCGAGAGAGAGCUUGCUUUCUCGAGCGAGUGGCGAACGGGUGAGUAACGCGUGAGGAACCUGCCUCAAAGAGGGGGACAACAGUUGGAAACGACUGCUAAUACCGCAUAAGCCCACAGCUCGGCAUCGAGCAGAGGGAAAAGGAGCAAUCCGCUUUGAGAUGGCCUCGCGUCCGAUUAGCUAGUUGGUGAGGUAAUGGCCCACCAAGGCGACGAUCGGUAGCCGGACUGAGAGGUUGAACGGCCACAUUGGGACUGAGACACGGCCCAGACUCCUACGGGAGGCAGCAGUGGGGAAUAUUGCACAAUGGGGGAAACCCUGAUGCAGCGACGCCGCGUGAAGGAAGAAGGUCUUCAGAUUGUAAACUCCUGUUGUUGAGGAAGAUAAUGACGGUACUCAACAAGGAAGUGACGGCUAACUACGUGCCAGCAGCCGCGGUAAAACGUAGGUCACAAGCGUUGUCCGGAAUUACUGGGUGUAAAGGGAGCGCAGGCGGGAAGACAAGUUGGAAGUGAAAUCUAUGGGCUCAACCCAUAAACUGCUUUCAAAACUGUUUUUCCUGAGUAGUGCAGAGGUAGGCGGAAUUCCCGGUGUAGCGGUGGAAUGCGUAGAUAUCGGGAGGAACACCAGUGGCGAAGGCGGCCUACUGGGCACCAACUGACGCUGAGGCUCGAAAGUGUGGGUAGCANACAGGAUUAGAUACCCUGGUAGUCCACACCGUAAACGAUGAUUACUAGGUGUUGGAGGAUUGACCCCUUCAGUGCCGCAGUUAACACAAUAAGUAAUCCACCUGGGGAGUACGACCGCAAGGUUGAAACUCAAAGGAAUUGACGGGGGCCCGCACAAGCAGUGGAGUAUGUGGUUUAAUUCGACGCAACGCGAAGAACCUUACCAAGUCUUGACAUCCUGCGACGGACAUAGAAAUAUGUCUUUCCUUCGGGACGCAGAGACAGGUGGUGCAUGGUUGUCGUCAGCUCGUGUCGUGAGAUGUUGGGUUAAGUCCCGCAACGAGCGCAACCCUUACUGUCAGUUACUACGCAAGAGGACUCUGGCAGGACUGCCGUUGACAAAACGGAGGAAGGUGGGGAUGACGUCAAAUCAUCAUGCCCUUUAUGACUUGGGCUACACACGUACUACAAUGGCGUUAAACAAAGAGAAGCAAGACCGCGAGGUGGAGCAAAACUCAGAAACAACGUCCCAGUUCGGACUGCAGGCUGCAACUCGCCUGCACGAAGUCGGAAUUGCUAGUAAUCGUGGAUCAGCAUGCCACGGUGAAUACGUUCNCCGGGCCCUUGUACACACCGCCCGUNNC
rnacentral:rRNA from 1 species